rnacentral:lncRNA from 1 species
AUGAUUCACCUUCAAGUAGCAUCAGUAAAAAUUCUUUUGGAUGCUUUCAAAGGAGAUCAUCGUUCUGAAGAACUUUCAACUUUUAUUUGCAACAGCCGCUCUGGAUUAGCAUCUGGAUUUCACUUCUGGUGUUCUGUGUAUGCUACCACUACAGAAUUCCCUAUUGCAGCACCUUCUCUUAACAUCACUCCCAAAACGUAUAGACACAUAAUUAUGUGUCUGCAUUUUAAUGAACCCUUGUAGCUGUAUUUGAAUGCUUUAAAAUCACUGUAUAGCAGAGUUAUAAAAGCAUUAAGGUUUUUUUUUUUCAUGCAGUGUAAGGUAGAUAUGUUUUUCAUAUGCUAGAAAAGCUAGUACCUUUCUGGGCAGUAUGACAGUAUUAUAUAUGAAUUAGAGCUACUUCUGGAUCAUCUGCUCAAGUUCCACUGUGACCUCUUAGUGUUUAUUAAAUAAAUAGUUAUUGAUAAAUUUUUAAGAUCUUGAA